UACAGAGGCCUCAAGCGUUGUUCGGAUUCAUUGGGCGUAAAGGGAGCGUAGGCGGUCGGGUAAGUCGGAUGUGAAAUCCUGGGGCUCAACCUCAGAACUGCAUUCGAUACUGCUUGGCUAGAGGAUUGGAGAGGAGAGUGGAAUUCACGGUGUAGCAGUGAAAUGCGUAGAGAUCGUGAGGAAGACCAACGGCGAAGGCAGCUCUCUGGACAAUUCCUGACGCUGAGGCUCGAAGGCCAGGGGAGCAAACGGG
rnacentral:rRNA from 1 species